rnacentral:rRNA from 1 species
CCUACGGGAGGCUGCAGUGGGGAAUAUUGCUCAAUGGGGGCAACCCUGACGCAGCAACGCCGCGUGAUUGAAGAAGGCCUUCGGGUUGUAAAGAUCUUUAAUUGGGGACGCAAACAAUGACGGUACCCAAAGAAUACGCACCGGCUAACUACGUGCCAGCAGCCGCUGUAAUACGGAGGGAGCAAGCAUUAUCCGGAUUUACUGGGUGUAAAGGGCGAGUAGGCGGGCUGGCAAGUUGGGAGUGAAAACCCGGGGCUUAACCCCGGAACUGCUUGCAAAACUGCUGGUCUUGAGUGAUGGAGAGGCAGGCGGAAGUCCGUGUGGAGCGGUGAAAUGCGUAGAUAUACGGAGGAACACCAGUGGCGAAGGCGGCCUGCUGGACAUUAACUGACGCUGAGGAGCGAAAGCGUGGGGAGCAAACAGGAUUAGAUACCCGGGUAGUC